rnacentral:rRNA from 1 species
GAACUGAAGAGUUUGAUCAUGGCUCAGAUUGAACGCUGGCGGCAGGCCUAACACAUGCAAGUCGAGCGGAUGAAGGGAGCUUGCUCCUGGAUUCAGCGGCGGACGGGUGAGUAAUGCCUAGGAAUCUGCCUGGUAGUGGGGGAUAACGUCCGGAAACGGGCGCUAAUACCGCAUACGUCCUGAGGGGGAAAGUGGGGGAUCUUCGGACCUCACGCUAUCAGAUGAGCCUAGGUCGGAUUAGCUAGUUGGUGGGGUAAAGGCCUACCAAGGCGACGAUCCGUAACUGGUCUGAGAGGAUGAUCAGUCACACUGGA